AGAACGACGCAGCCGGCGAGGGUGAGUCCCACCCGGCGCCCCACCGGACCAAGCGUGGCAGGAUAGGACUGCAGGGGUCGGAGGAAGUAGCCCAGGACGGGGUCAGAAAUCCCCGGGGACCGCUAGAGGUACCAAAACCAAGAGGGGCAGUGUCGUGUGCUUAUUGGAUUGAAUCCACCAGAAAGUCUGGAGUCACUGAAAGCUGACAUCGGCGACCUACUUACAGUAAACCUAUGGAGAAUUUAGGUUUGGAGAUAUUAAACACCUUGUCCAAGGACACACAGGAAUUUUGCAGUACAGCUGGGACUUGAAUCCUUAUAGCCUGAAGACUUGGGUAAUUAUUUCUCACAAUUUGGGGGAGGGGACUGGAGCAAGUAGUUACUCAGAGUAUGUUAGGACAACUUAAAUCUCCUCUUUUGUGACUCACAGAACUUGAACUGGUUAUGCACUGCAAUACUAAAUGCAUUUCUAUGUUUUGUGAUCCCUUGCUUGCCUUGAGAGAAAGGGCAGGUUACUUUUCUCAUCUCACUUUACACCUUUGGAUUGCCUUUUAUUUUCUUGCAUGUAGAGAUUUUCUAUACUCCUCAUCCAUGCCCGAAAAUAUUCACUAUUAAAUAUAGUUCCUUCUCUGGCCAGGAAUCCCAAGGAACUCAUUGGCACAUCUCACCAGAGUAAGCACAAGAGUGUGCUUGGGAGUAAGUGUUCAG